rnacentral:rRNA from 1 species
ACGGAGGGUGCAAGCGUUGUUCGGAAUUACUGGGCGUAAAGGGCGCGUAGGCGGACUGAUAAGUCAGGUGUGAAAGCCCACGGCUUAACUGUGGAAGUGCGUUUGAAACUAUGAGUCUUGAGUACCAGAGGGGAAGGUGGAAUUCCCAGUGUAGAGGUGAAAUUCGUAGAUAUUGGGAGGAAUACCGGUGGCGAAGGCGGCGAUCUGGAAGAUUACUGACGCUGAGGCGCGAAAGCGUGGGUAGCAAACAG